CCCAAACUAUUAAUCUUCAAUACCCCUUUGUACUUACGAUCUUAUAUCCACUGACUGUCCUGUUAGAUUAACCCAAUAAAUUUCAUUCACUCUGCAUACUCAAUCCUAUAGACACCCCUUUAAUCCUUCAAUCACAGACGUAACUCGAUUUUACAAAACAGUCAAGAGUAUUCAAACCCACUUCAUUUAAAAAUCCCGAUUCACCA
rnacentral:lncRNA from 1 species